rnacentral:lncRNA from 1 species
UGGCAGGUCAAUUGGGCUGAAGCCCCAUGCACAGAGGAGCAGCAUUUCUCAUUCUCCUGAUCUUGGUGCAAAGUUAACUGGUUACCCCACUUUGAACCAGUCCAGAUCAGCUGCAGAGUUCACUCGGUGGCAAAGCGGAAAUCAACAACCCUCGUGUCCUAGAUGGUCUGAGAUAAUGACUGCAAAGAGGAAACAAACCUGAAAAAUAAUAGCUGCAUCUCAACCACCCUGCGGAGGGGAACCAAGACAAAAGCAGACAUUGGAUGAGCAAGCCAUGGUCAUAGAAUCACGGAAUCGUUAAGGUUGGAAAAGACCACUAAGAUCAUCUGGUCCUACCACCAACCCACCACCCAACCACCAACCCAUGACACAGGUCAGCAGAAAAACAUGGUUCAAAACCACUUUCCUUCUGCACUUUCAGGUCUCUUUCUCCACU